rnacentral:rRNA from 1 species
UCCGUAGGUGGAUAAUUAAGUCAGAGGUGAAAUCCUGCAGCUCAACUGUAGAAUUGCCUUUGAUACUGGUUAUCUUGAGUCAUUAUGAAGUGGUUAGAAUGUGUAGUGUAGUGGUGAAAUGCAUAGAUAUUACACAGAAUACCGAUUGCGAAGGCAGAUCACUAAUAAUGUACUGACACUGAGGGACGAAAGCGUGGGGAGCGAACAGGAUUAGAUACCCUGGUAGUCC